GGAGAGGGAGGUCAGAGCACCCAAUGAAAGAGGAGAGGGAGGUCAGAGCACCCAAUGAAAGAGGAGAGAGAGGGCAGAGCACCCAAUGAAAGAGGAGAGGGAGGUCAGAGCACCCAAUGAAAGAGGAGAGGGAGGGCAGAGCACCCAAUGAAAGAGGAGAGGGAGGUCAGAGCACCCAAUGACAGAGGAGAGGGAGGGCAGAGCACCCAAUGAAAGAGGAGAGGGAGGUCAGAGCACCCAAUGAAAGAGGAGAGGGAGGUCAGAGCACCCAAUG
ensembl:lncRNA